GACGAACGCUGGCGGCGUGCUUAACACAUGCAAGUCAAGGGGACCCGCAAGGGUAACCGGCGAACGGGUGCGUAACACGUGAGCAACCUGCCUCAGUGUGGGGGAUAGCCGGCCCAACGGCCGGGUAAUACCGCAUACGCUCAUUAAGUGGCAUCACUUGAUGAAGAAACUUCCGAGGCACUGAGAGGGGCUCGCGGCCUAUCAGCUUGUUGGUGGGGUAAUGGCCUACCAAGGCAACGACGGGUAGCUGGUCUGAGAGGAUGGCCAGCCACAUUGGGACUGAGAUACGGCCCAGACUCCUACGGGAGGCAGCAGUGGGGAAUAUUGCGCAAUGGGCGAAAGCCUGACGCAGCGACGCCGCGUGGGGAUGAAGCAUUUCGGUGU
rnacentral:rRNA from 1 species